rnacentral:lncRNA from 1 species
UGGCAGAUGCUUACGUGGAAUAAACUUAUUAUUAUAUUAUUUCUGAUAAAAAAAUCUAAUUUAUAUUUUUAAAAAUCCUUAUUAUAAUUGUUAAAAAUCAUUAUUAUAAAUAAAAUUUAAUUGUUAAAAUUAAAUUAAAAAAAAAAAAACAGCCCCAAUUCAACAAAACCCUAAAUUAAAAUCUGAAGCCCCAAUUCAACAAAACCCUAAAUUAAAAUCUGAAGCAGAAACAUAUGAACAUCUGAAGCAGAAGCAUAUGAACUAGCAUGAACCCUAAAUCAAAAAACAGCCCCAAUUUAACAAAACCAUUGCUGACUGUAUGGUUUCUAACGGUUACGCAAAAGAAUGCGUAAAAGUUUACAUCACGGUGAGAAAAUCGAUCGUUAA